CAAGCCUGAUCCAACAAUGCCGCGUGAGUGAUGAAGGCCUUAGGGUUGUAAAGCUCUUUCGCACGCGACGAUGAUGACGGUAGCGUGAGAAGAAGCCCCGGCUAACUUCGUGCCAGCAGCCGCGGUAAU
rnacentral:rRNA from 1 species